AUUUGGUGUCUUAAUUGCUGAUAUAUUUUUAUGUAGACUUUGUCAAAAUUGAAAAGAUUUGAUUUAACGAACGAUUUUAUGAAUUUAUUUUAAUUAGUACGUCGGCGGGGUUUUAUGGAAAAAAAAAGAUUUGAUUUAGGACAAGAUUAGAACUUCAAUCAAUUUGGGAGAGAUGAAGUAUCUCAAGACGACCACCACUGAACAUGAUAGAAACAUAUACGACAGGGUAUCAAUGAAAGAGAAAACGGGAAAAUGUUGCAUAAAAGAUGUCGGCGACCAUGAGCACUCGAGAGGGUUGUUCGGAUACUGCCUUGUAUGCAAAAAAGAAAAAGAAAAAACACGACAUAAACAUUUUUCGGAGAGCAUCUUACUUUUUGAGUAGUAUUAUUAGUAAGAUUUGAGAAAUCUUUGAUUAUGGACCUGCAAUUUCACAAGAUAUAUGUUACGUGCGUUGGAGCCUUGUGGCCGUGUUUAAGCAAUAGCACUAGUCUUUAGUUACUUGCUCAGCAGUUCAAAGGGAAAAUUGAAUGUAAGGUGUACAUUGUAGUAGUUUUAUGUACAAUAAGUUGGUCAAAAUACGAA
rnacentral:lncRNA from 1 species